rnacentral:misc_RNA from 1 species
GAUGAAGAACGUAGCGAAAUGCGAUAAGUAGUGUGAAUUGCAGAAUUCAGUGAAUCAUCGAAUCUUUGAACGCACAUUGCGCCCCUCGGUAUUCCGUGGGGCAUGCCUGUUCGAGCGUCAUUUAACCCCUCAAGCCUAGCUUGGUAUUGGGUGCUUGUCCCGCCUCUCGCGCGGCGACUCACCUCAAAGUCAUUGGCAGCCCGCAUCUCGCCGGCCGUGAGCGCAGCACAGACGCGCUCUUGGCAACGACGGAUCGGCUCUCCAAAAGCUUAUUUCAACCACUGACCUCGGAUCAGGUAGGGAUACCCGCUGAACUUAAGCAUAUCAUAAGCGGAGGA